rnacentral:lncRNA from 1 species
UUUUACUUUUAUAAAAUUAUGCAAGCCAAUGAUACUAGGAAAUCACAAGACAAAUGUUAUUCGGACCCCUCAAAGCCAAAAGACAAAAGAAGCCCAAACCAAAGGACCAAAAUCCGGCCCAGCCAGAUUUUGCCUUGUGGCGCCCGUCAUAGACCCUGUGGCGCCAGCCACAGCGUCUGUAAAAGGUCGGGGCAGAACCCCUUUC